CCACCUCCCUCCGCGCCUAGACACGCCCCUUAAUUUGCAUAAAGGGCGGGGCACUUUCUACCCUAACCCUCUACUUCCAGGGCUGUCUUUAGUUUAAAAAAAAAAAAAAAAGGGCCGGGCGCGCGGAGCAUGCGGAGGUUAUUUGCAUAAAGAGGAGGGACUUAAGGGCACUAGGACCCCGAUUGGCUAAGGAGGCGGGCCCCCAGCGUCGGCCGUUGAGCCGUGUUGAGGGGGCGGGAAUGCGGUGCAGGUCGGCUGGGCGGUUGGGACGCAGAAUUUACACGACGAAUGUGGGAGAAAGAGGCGGAGCGUGCGUCGGACGUUAGUAGAAAGAUGGGAGCGGAGAGACGUUGGGACGCCAAAAGUGGAAGGCAACGACACACGGCCCGUGGCGCCUUCAGCUAGGGAGAAAGAGAGAGAGGACGGGGGCUGGCGGGCGGGAUUAGCUGCCGGAGGGCUGAGUUUCCGCAGGCCUGAGUCUCCAUCUGUCGCUAGACUGGAGUGCAGUGGCGCGAUCUUGGCUCACUUCAACCUCCACAUCCUGGGUUCAAGCGACUCUCCUGCCUCAGCCUCCCAAGUAGCUGGGACUACAGGUGCGCACCACCAUGUUCAACUAAUUUUUGUAAUUUUAGUGGAGACGAGGUUUCACCAUGUUGGCCAAGAUGGUCUCGAUCUCUUGACCUUGUGAUCCACCCACCUUGGCCUCCCAAAGUACUGAGAUUAUAGAUGUGAGCCACUGCGCCUAGCCAGAAAAAUAUUUAUUGAUCCUAAAGUGGAGUCAGCGCCACUGUUGCUGCUAGUGUUGAAUCCAGAACCAUAGCUGGACAUGGGAUCAGAGGAUGAACAAGAGAUGCUGACUGGGCCUAGAGAUGGCAAGGAGGAGGAGGAAGAGGAAGAGGAGGAAUUAGUCAAUUCCUAACAAAAGCGAGAGAGCAGUGCGUGCAGCUGAAGAAAGGAGUAAAGUCUCGGAGCAGCUGGAGCUCUGUGAUGAGCACGUGUCUUCCAGAUCACAGACAGGAGAGGAUUGCACAAAGCUCUUUGACUUCUCUAAUGCAAGGGACCAUUGCAUGGCCCACAAAUCCUUUAACAGUUUGAAAUGAAUGUGCAGACUCCUUCACCCCAGCUUUCAUCACCUGGGCAUUUCUCUAUGGUUUUAAAUAUAACAUUUGUUUCUAAUUUGUGUAACUAUAAGUCCAUGUGAACCUCAUGGAUUUUUGGCUUAGGCAAAUAGCUUCUCUGUAAUUGGCAGCAAUUCCAUCUUAAUAAGGGAACUGUGAUUUGCAAAACGAAAAAA
rnacentral:lncRNA from 1 species